UACAGAGGGUGCAAGCGUUAAUCGGAAUUACUGGGCGUAAAGCGCGCGUAGGUGGUUUGUUAAGUUGGAUGUGAAAGCCCCGGGCUCAACCUGGGAACUGCAUCCAAAACUGGCAAGCUAGAGUGCAGGAGAGGAAGGUAGAAUUCCCGGUGUAGCGGUGAAAUGCGUAGAGAUCGGGAGGAAUACCAGUGGCGAAGGCGACCACCUGGACUGAUACUGACACUGAGGUGCGAAAGCGUGGGGAGCAAACAGG
rnacentral:misc_RNA from 1 species